rnacentral:rRNA from 1 species
AGAGAUGCUGCAGUUAAAAAGUCCGUAGUCAUAGAAGGGCAAAGAGAGAUGCGAGGUCUCACAGUGCGAUGAUGGAGGAGCCGAUGGGGAACAUAGUAUACCAGGGCGAGAGAUGAAAUGCCAAGACCCCUGGUGGACUGAGCGAGGCGAAGGCGAUGUUCUUGUAGGCAUUCGGUGAUCAAGGACGAAGGCUGGAGUAUCGAAAGUGAUUAGAUACCGCAGUAGUUCCAGCAGUAAAAGAUGCCGACAUGCUCAUUGGACACAGUGGGCAGGGAGAAAUCUUAGAGUUCGGGCUCUGGGGAUAGUAUGCUCGCAAGGGUGAAAAUUAAAGAAAUUGACGGAGCUACACCACAAGGAGUGGAUUGUGCGGCUUAAUUUGACUCAACGCGAGGAAACUUACCAGGGCCAAGUAUUGUGUAGAAACGAGCAAUACAGGAGUGGUGCAUGGUCGUUGGAAAUUGAUGGGAUGACUUUGACCUUAAAUGGUUGAAUGAGUGAGAUCUUUUGGACAUGUUCCGCACGGAACAGGAAGGAAAAGGCUAUAACAGAUCCGAGAUGCCCUCAGAUGCCCUGGGCUGCACGCGCAAUACAAUAGCAGGUAGAGAUAGAGACAGGAAGGUGCUCAG